GAAAGAGGGCCUGAUGGACUGUGUUGGCUGUUAGACCUUUAGAAAGCUCAAGCAACCAGGAGGAAGAAGAAAACAGACUUCAUUGACAAGGAAAAGUAAACAUUGCAUCUUGGCAAAAAUGCAGUUUAAAUAUUUAGAAUAUUGUGAUUCAUUGUUCAAUUAAGCACCAGUCUCAAAUUUUAGGACAGUCGAUGGAUGAUGAAGAGGAGAGGAGAGAAAAGUGCUUGUUUCCCUAGAGGUCUCAGUCUUAUUGCUCCUUCGGAAGAGAAGAGAUAUAGCUUAUACAGACUAAAAUUUGGGGACGAUGACAUGGAGGGUUUGUGCAAAGUAAAUGUCUUGGUGCUGCUAUCAGAAUACAAUAGAUGUUUGGUUUGUGACAUUAGAUAUCUCUUAUGUUUGUAUGCCUUUUGCGAGGAAAGGCUAAAUUUCAGCUUCCUUGUCGCCCAGCACAUG
rnacentral:lncRNA from 1 species